rnacentral:rRNA from 1 species
GAUGAACGCUAGCGGCAGGCUUAAUACAUGCAAGUCGUGGGGCAGCAGGACUGUAGCAAUACAGUUGCUGGCGACCGGCAAACGGGUGCGGAACACGUACGCCACUUACCCUGAACUGGGGGAUAGCCCGGGGACACCCGGAUUAAUACCCCGUAAUUUUAUGGAGUGGCGUCACUUUAUUAUUAACGCUCCGGCGGUUCGGGAUGGGCGUGCGGCUGCUUAGGUAGUUGGUUGAGGUAACGGCUCAGCAAGGCUACGAUCAGUAACUGGUGUGAGAGCAGGACCAAUCAGACGGGCACCGGGACACGGGCCCGUCUCCUACGGGGGGGAGCAGUAAGGAAUAUAGGGCGAUGGAGCCUACUCUGACACAGCCAUGCCGGGUGGAGGAUGAAGGCCCUCUGGGUUGUAAACUUCUUGUAUAGGGGACGUGUCCUGUGUAUUCUUCCGCAGUUGACGGUACCCUAGGAAUAAGCACCGGCUAACUCCGUG